CCUAUAUUCCAGAAACCCUGAGGAGGGGGACGAAAAUCAAUUCCAGCCACCGCAGAGUCCAAAAACACCAGAUCCAAUCGAGACACCAUCACGAAGGGGUUCAUCAUGUCCAUUGGUGCCUCUCCGAUGAUGUGUGAGUAGUUCUUUGUAGACCUAUGGGUCCGUAGUUAGUAGCUAGAUGCCUUCCUCUCUCUCUCUUGAUUAUCAGUACAAUGGUCUCUUGGAGAUCCAUAUGAUGUAAGUCCUUUUGCGGUGUGUUUAUUGGGAUCCGAUGAACUUUUAGUUUAUGAUCAAA
rnacentral:lncRNA from 1 species